AGCGACUUAGCAGCAGCAGCAGCAGUGAAUGAUAAUGUUGAUCACCAUAUUACUUCUUAUUGGACAUUUAUACAUCUUUUCUGAAGAAAAAGCUGUUCAAAUCUUUUACCCACUUAAAAAUGAAUUGUCUUUUCAUUAUUGAGUUCUUUAUAUAUUCGAGAUGCUAUACUUUUAUCAGAUACACAGUUUAUAAAUAUUUUCUUUCGUUCUGUGGGUUGUAUUCAUUUUCUUGAUGGUCUUUGGCAUUUAUCGUUGAUGAGGUCCAAUUUAUUAUUUCUUUUGUAGCUUAGGUUUUUGGCGUCACAUUUAAUUCUCCAGUUUUGGUGGGGAUUUAGAUCACCCCACUUACUUUAGAAUGUCCACACCCAUUAGCCAGCACCAUUACUCCAUGAUGGAAGGAGAUUAAAAGUGGAAGGGGUUGGAGUAUAGUGAGAUAGAAAGAGCAUGUGCCUAAAAUCUAAAGAUUGAGUCCAACUCAUCUGUCAUGGAAUAUAAGUACUUACUUUUCCAAACUUCAGCUUUCUAUUUGCAAAAGUGGGUAGUUCCUACUUCAUAAGGCUAUUGUGAAAUUUGAAUUAGCUAAAUUGCAAAAAGAGUUUACCGUGGUACCUGGCACAUAGGAGGUAUCUAAUAUACACUAGGCUAUUGUCAUUUUUAUUAAGAGAAGGUGGGACUGAGCCUGGACCUAAUCAAGAAUUACUCAAUAGAAGUAGAGCUAUCACUCUGUUUCUGUGUAUUUUGGAUAGGCUGCUAAAACUACAUAGAACUGCAGAUUUGCUUAUUAUUAUAUAGUUUUCCAGCACUAUGGAAAAACCUGAUAGGCACACAGUAGGAUAAUUUUAUUUCUUUUGAAUUCAGGAAUAAACAAAGCUAUUUCUCUUUGGGAUCCAAAGAAGAGACCUAGACCCAAAAAACUGUGGUGUCAGCAUCACCAUGUGUUUCUUAUUAUAUAUCAUUAAUUUAGGGCCAUUUGUACAACUAUAAAAUGAACAAAACUCCCUGUCACUUAGGUAAGGGACUUUAAAAAUGGUCACUCAAUAUUUCCAUUAAAUAUUUACCAUACUUUACAACAUUAUUUUAGAACUAACCCAGUCAUUUAGUAUUCACAUAAACAGAGUGGUUUAGGGCAUAAAAACAUACUCUGUUUUAUUAUGAUAAACCCAGAUAUUGAGGAAAGUUCAAAGUAAAAUCAUCUUAAUAGGCUUCUUCUGUGUGGCAGAUAGACUAAUAAAUGAGGCAGCUUCCAGUAGAAAUAUCUUAUUGAUACUUAAGAGAAAGAAGCUUUUUAAUAUCUUCUGUUUAACCAACUCAACCUAAAAUUUUGUUAUUUUAUUCAUCAUCAAAAAGUUCAACUCUUGCUCAGUAAUUGGCAUAAUUAUACUUCUUAAUGUGGAAAAUUUAGCAAAUAUUAAAAACCCUUUUGAAAAAACCCAUAAUAAUCCUAUGCUGUGAAACAUUUAAGCUAUGCCACACGAUUUUCUAUUUCACUUGUUCUUAAGUUGCAAUUCAGAAAUAUUCAGUGAUUACUUCCGUCCUAAAUAAGGCCAGAAGACUAGCCAAUAAACUUAAGGGGAUACAAAGAUGAAUAACACAUUCUUUCUGACUAAAAAUUUGGCAUUUCAGUAGGUGAUCUAGAGGCAACAUGCUAUCAUUAAUGGGAGAACGACAGUAGGAUAAGAUGAAAAAUUUCAUAAAGCCGAUAAAGCAAUUUGUGAGGUGUUAGCUGAAGUUAGAAAUCAGCCAAAGGUGUGUUAAGUAACAUUUAUUGCCUGGAAAAUUCCAUGGGCAGCUGAGCCUGGUGGUCUACAGUCCAUGGGGUCACAAAAAGUUGGAUAUGACUGAGCAUACAAGUUCACAGGUAGCACUUAUAUAUGGUAGGCAGAUUUCUAAGCACUUAAAUCCAGUUACUCAUUCAAUCCUUACAACGGCUUUUUGAGGUAGGCGCUAUCACCCUUCCCCCACUUUAAUAGGAGAGGUAAAUGAAGUACAGACACGACAAGCUACUCAAAUGAGGUGGGCUCCCAGACAAUCUGGCUGAGGAAUUGGUCUUCUUAACUACUCUCCUAUGCUACUUCUUAACUCAAAGAAGAAUUAUUAUUAGUAGAGUAGCUUUUGGAUUUCUGGAACCUCUACUUCUUCAAAACUCCCCAGAUGUGGGAUAUAAUAAUGCAUAUAAAGAAAAGAUCUGAUAACUCCUUUCUCUCUUUUAAAGAUGUUACCACCUUUAUGUUUUACUCUAAAAUUACAUUCUACAUUAAGCAUAUGUCACAUACUCUAGUAUAUAUGGAUUAUAUAAUGUGGUCAUCUUGUAUGACAGUAUGAAUGGUCUCCUUCAAAGUAUGUCUGUGUAGGGAAUACGUUUUAUUUCCAUAUUUUCCAAUUUUGGAAAUACCCUUUCAUACCAUCACAAUAGCUUCCUGCAUAGAUUUUUUUUAAACUGUUAGAUUAUUUCCCAUUUUGCUUUUAUGAAAUAUUGAUGAUAAUGUCUAUUAGUCUUGAUUGAAAACUUCAGCAACUACAGCAGGCUCAGUUUUGUAGGUCUAAAGCCUAAACAAUAUGGAGGACUUCUUUCAGAAGCACUACAAAAUUAGGUGCAAAGAAUGAAUAUUGAAUUAGAAGUGCUUCAUUCUGAUAGGACCUAAAAGUUUCAGCUUAAUUAGCCUAAAUGAUAAAGCACCACUUCAGAUAGUAACUAAAAUAAAAUUUGAAAAAAUUCCACAAGAAUAAAAUACCCAAAAAGAAUGCUUCACUUUUUUUUCCUCAGAAGGAUCUUGUAAUUUUAAACUUUAUAUAUCACUUCAUCUGAUUUUUUUCUCCUUUUAAUUUCUCAGUUGUCUGGAAAAACUUUAUUCACAACAGAUCUCUCCAUUUUGUGAGAUGAGGAAGAAGAAAGGGUCAGUGAUUUGCUCUAGGUCACAGAAGCCUGUUAGGGGUCCUUCCACUAUUCUUUUCAGCAGAUGAAUUUGAAGAAAGAAUAUUUUGUAUCAGACACAAAGAAGCUUCUUUUCUUAGGGUCUUUAGUGUUACUUUACUGGAGAAGAAGCUAAGCUGGGACAAAUUUACAACAAAGUGAAAGCCCAAAAUGUGGAAUUCCUGAGUACAGAACAUUGUUGGACAAAUUUACAACAAAGUUCAAAGCCCAAAGUGUGGAAUUCCUGAGUACAGAACAUUGUUUCACCUUGUAACUGGUAGUAAUGUUGGCAAGACCUUUCAUUUUGAUGUGACACAGACAUUUUGAACCUUUUUUUUUUUCCCUAGAGAUAAUCACAUCCCUCUCUGCCCCCUGCCUCCCCACAAAGUAGUGUAAUUUUGAGGAAACUACUUAGCCCAGCAUCUUGACAGCUGCUUGGCUCUUCAAGUUUGAAUCUUAAAUUCUCAAGUGUUUCCAUGUUUCAAAUAAAUAAAAAAGUAUUUUUUUUAAGCUUCAUCUACUUUACCCCCCUGUUUUUAGCUCUCAUUGAGUUGUUUUAUUGUUUAGUUGACUUUGGGACGAUCUGGAGAAGGAAAUGGCAACUCACUCCAGUAUUCCCGCCUGAGAAAUCCCAUGGACAGAGGAGCCGGGCGGCCUCCAGUCCAUGGGGUCACAAACAGUCGAACACGACUGAGCAACAAACAUGCACACUCGUACAUCUCCCGUGCAACAGCCCCUACCUACCCUGUUACCUGUGACCCUGUGAAAGUCAAAGUGAGAGGGAUCUAACCGGGUCUCCUGCGUUGCAGGCAGAGUCUUGAAGGCUGAGCCAGGGGGACCAUUAGUGGUCCUACUUAGUCAUUGGUCAGCGCCGCAGCUGGACCCGCCCACAAGCAACCGCCAAAGAGCCGCCAGUUAGCGAGUGCAUUGAGUCAAAGGUGGGCCUGCGCAAAGUGGCGGUCUGCAUACAGAGAGCAAGGUAAGAGGCCAUUCCUGGCCUUCUACCCCAGACCCUCCAGUUCACAGGCUCUGGGCCAGCAGAGAAUUAUGCCUGUCUCUGAAACCAGUGUCCCCUCUGGGGUUAUAAAAAUCACCAUGAAGAAACUGAAUGAAAUGACCCUUGAAGUUUGGAUUUGAUUUUUGGAAGUAGCCCAAAUAAUUGGAGCUAAGCCAGGUGAAUAAAUUGGUUAAUGAAGUUGGAUAA